rnacentral:lncRNA from 1 species
ACACCUAUUAUACAGCUCGGAUUCCCUUGGCCUCUGUGCCUUACAACUGCUUGAGGAUGGAGACUGAAUCCUCAGUUUAUACCCCCAAGCAAAUGCUCUGUGAUUUGUUUCUGAGUGCUAAAUACUAAUUUUCCCAGUUUUUAUGGUGGUUAUACUUUAGGCAAGGAAAGUGCAAAUUUUAUAAAAUUUGCUGAAAAUACCCCCCACGUUUUUGUUCAUUCCAGAGGAGGACAGUGUUCUGACUCCUUCUUCCUCUGCCAUUGUCCCUCCUUUCUUAGCCUCUGGUUAACUCCCAUCUAGUAGAAUGUCAGAGGCAGAGUAGACUUGGGAGUGCAGAUAUUCUGUUUUAACAUGCGUGCCUAGGGUUAUAGUAUUCUCAGGACUUCAGUGCUUUCUCUGAGGCCGCGACUAUCAGCAGACCCAUAUAAGGCAGCUGGACUGCCUCCCCUGUCCUCUGAGCCUCCUGCGCGUAUGUCUAGAUACCGUGAUAGAUCCAGUGCCUGUGAAGACCUGGAACAUUUCAGACAAUAACUCAGACUUGUUUUCUUAUGCUAUAUAUAGGAAUUGAGCAAGUGUUUUAUAAUGAAAUCUCCCUGCAGGCACUCCACAUCUCCUGGUGGAGUGAUGCAGAACCCUCAGACACCCAGUAAACAGUCCUUUUCAAGUUUAAAAUUCUUUCGGCCGCUUUUUUUCUCUGUUACCUUUCUGAAAUAUUUGGCCCUAUAUUUUUCAUAAAAUAAUAAAAUCUGUGCGAGAUUAAAAUUUUCUGAUGGUUGAUCCUCAGUAGCUAAAAAACAGAUUCCGUAACAACGCAACGUUUCUCUGCAGGUUCUGGAGCUUAAGUUCUUGGACUGGUAUAUUUGUUCUUAUUAACCCUUUAUUUCCUUGAGUGCUCCAAGUCAACGAUUGGAAUUGUUUUCAAGUGACUGAGAAAGCUAAAGGUUAAAGAUAAUAUGGUAGUAAGUUGAUUUACAUCAAAGAAUUCAUCUAGAUUCACGGAAACGAUGAUGCUGGUGAGAUUUCCAGACCAGAAUCAGGCCAGCAGAGUACUUUCUCAGUGGCUCUAAACUUGUUUGGCUUACCCCCGCUCAGGUUU